AUGCAGAUCCUCUGGUCCCUCCUCUGCCUUCUGGUUACUCCCUUGGGUGUCCUGUCUGAUCUGACCUUGCAGGAAUCAGGUCCAGGUCUGAUGAAGCCUUCGGAUACCCUCUCCCUCACUUGCACUGUCUCUGGAUUCUCCAUCACAACUAAUUAUUACUGCUGGUACUGGAUCCGGCAGCCCCCAGGAAAAGCACUCCAGUGGUUGUCAACUAUAUGCUAUGAUGAAAGUACAGCUUAUGCUACUUCCCUGAAGAGUCGACUUUCCACCACCAAAGACACAUCCUCAAAUAAGUUCUUCCUUCAACUGAGAUCUGUCACCAGCGAGGACACGUCUAUGUAUUUCUGUGCAAGAGACACAGUGAGAGGAAGUCAGUGUGAGCCCUUGCAUUAA